AUGCCUUAAACUUAUGAAUAAGGAAGGAAAACGAGGGUUCAGGGUGAUGCCCGAAUCCUUACUGCUAAUGUGAGAUGAAUUUUUAAGUGGGUAAAGUUGCCUCUGAGAAGAGCUGCCUACUUUGUGGAUGCCUGGGAGUCGUGAUCUGCCCC